CCUACGGGAGGCAGCAGUGGGGAAUAUUGCACAAUGGGCGAAAGCCUGAUGCAGCCAUGCCGCGUGUAUGAAGAAGGCCUUCGGGUUGUAAAGUACUUUCAGUUGUGAGGAAGGGGGUAACGUUAAUAGCGUUAUCUCUUGACGUUAGCAACAGAAGAAGCACCGGCUAACUCCGUGCCAGCAGCCGCGGUAAU
rnacentral:rRNA from 1 species